CUUCUAGAAGAUUGCGGCUGGAUCACCUCCUUUCUAAGGAUGGCUCUUCAGCCUGGUCUUUAAGGUCGCAAGAUCUUGGGACCACGAUCUUCGGAUCGCGCGCUAUCGAGCUGUUUUAGAAACAUCAGGGGCCACCGAGACCGCCAGGUCUUGGAUGAGCUCCAUUGGCGGGAUUUCGCCGUCUUCGUUUCUCUUUCUUCGCGGACGAACACGCUGCCUGGGGCUGCGCGGUUGCUGCUUGGCCUUUGCGGGUUUGACCUGCGCGGGCAGGGUGGUGACGAGCUUCGAGCGUUAGGGGCUUGUAGCUCAGUUGGUUAGAGCGCGCGCUUGAUAAGCGUGAGGUCGGAAGUUCAAGUCUUCCCAGGCCCACCACGCUUCGCCUGCGGCUACGCGUGGCGCGGCCUCGCUCUUCAAUGAGCGAAGCGUGCCCGGCGAAGCCACUUGGCGAAGACGGGCAGCCGUCGGUCAACAUCGUCUCGACGAUCAGCUCAUUGCAUUCGUCUUUCCGGGUAUGGGGCCUUAGCUCAGCUGGGAGAGCGCGUGCUUUGCAAGCAUGAGGUCGUCGGUUCGAUCCCGACAGGCUCCACCACGCUUCGCCCUUCGGGCUACGCGUGGCGCGGCCAGGGGUUGAACGAGCUGGAUCAUCCACGCAGGAGCCGAANGGCGGAGCGUGGUGCCCGGCGAAGCCACUUGGCGAAGACGGGCUGCUGCCCCUUGCGUGUUCAAUUCGUCCGCGAGACAACAUUUCGCAUCUUCUGGUCCUCACCGGGAUUACAGAAGACUGCGUGUUAUCUGACAUCGUGAAGAGGAGAUCGAUCCGAGUAGGGUCGUGCAAUGAAGGGCCACCGCGCAAGCGGUCCGCUCGUCGACUUUGCACCGACGCCUUCACUAUCUCCGGGUCAUUUCGGCGCAAACAUCGAGCUGUGAAGCUUGUCGUUUGUUGUAAAUGACUCUGUUAGCUGCGCUUGACCGCACGGCUAUCGGUUCGAUCUUAAGAAGCAAGCUGGUCUUUCUAAUCAGUGUCCGCGCUGCUCNANCCCUUGUCCUUCGGGACAGGUGRGAGCGGUGAACAUUCUGCCGAGUGUGUGGACAUUGAUAAUGAGAGCAAUCAAGUGCCUUAAG
rnacentral:tRNA from 1 species